CGCGUGCGUUCGCGUCGCGCGCUGUGCUAAAUAAUUUUAAACGUGUGAUUAGUUUUGCGCGCGGGGUAGAAAAAGAUGUGGCCCUUGCUUUGUGUAUUACUCGUGCCCCACUUCAAAGCAAAGCGUUCGUACGCACUGGAAGAUGGAUCCACGAAGGCUGAAACGAGAAGUUGCAACGUGCCCGGUCGGUUGUACUGGCAUGACGGAAAUUUUCAGGCAAGUGCCCGUUUAUUUGGUAUUUGUUUUGUUCGCUUUAGAAAUAUCUCACUGUGAUCUCGUAGCAUAAUUCAUAAUUCGCUAAUGUAAGAGCAAGAGCAGCUGCACUCCUACUAGGGCAAGUGAACUACCUCGAUCGCGUCCCGUGUGACUAAUGUUUGUCAAAUCUACAUCGGGUGUGGUGCGCCUGCAUAGUUACGCUUUGUUUCUCAGCGCUUGGGCGUUCAUUGAUGUGAUUCUCUUGUGCGUUCAGCGCGGCGGCUUGUAAUACGGUCGUUCGCACUUCAGUUAAAUGUGGUCGACCACUUUUGCGUCGCGUAGAAAAGGGACGACUGGCUUUGCCACCUUUCGAAAGAACCGGCGCGGUAUUGGUUCUCCCUGAUGCGGUCGCGUGCUGCUGUUGCUGCUUGCCGGACGCCCUCAGCAUUUUUUCGGCUCGCUUUGUCUGCGCGUGUGCGCGUGCUCGCGCUCGGCUCGAUUUGUGUGUGUGUGUGUGUGCGUGCGUGCGUGCGUGCGUGUGCGCGCUCAGCUCAGCUCGCUUUGUGUGUGUGUGUGUGUGUGUGUGUGUGUGUGCGCGCGCGCGUACAGUACAUGCCGGUUUGUAUGGGCCGGCGUGUUUGCGCGUGUCUAGUGCGUACGUGUUUUGUGAGUGUGUUGCCUGUGGGUCGCUGUGUGUGCGAGCACGUGUUAGCGUGUCUGCCUGCAUGCAUGUAUGUGUGCUUGUUUGUGUGCAUCAAUGUGUGCGUGCGCACUUUUGUGUCUGCGCUUUGAGAGUGCGUAUACUUGUGUGUGCGUGUGAGUGCGUUUUGUGUGCGUGCGUAUGUAUUGCAUGAGGCCGGUAGUUUUACUCGCAAUAAAACUCUUCCGAUUUGGUGCAGCGAGUGUUCCCGCCUGAAAGCCGAGUUUGGUUUCAAGCCACUCUGGACAACUGCUGUAUGAGGCGCCGUUUCUCUGGAGCACCAGUGGGAAGGCGCCAGGUCAUGCAGAUGGCAGCAGCAAUUUCACAAUGCCCAGCCUUGGCGCCCCCCACCAAGAGCAAGCCACUUGCGUUCGCCUUCAGACAGAUGGUUAAUGUCUUCUUGAAAGCAGUUGAGAAGACAACAUUGAUUCAAGAUUCCAGCAAUGCCAUGCGCUGCGUUGGUCAAGAUGCUCAGAGAAUGGAGUCCCUGCACCUCGUGGUUAACCGUGAACAUUUCUUUUUCUUUUGGAGAGCUAAAGGCCAUUCGCUGCAUGACUUGCAUUUUUGCAGCUCGGAUGUGUACUAUAUUUUUCUAAUUUUGAAUCAAUAUUGGCUGUUCAGUAUAAAAAAUGAUGUACAGCCUCCCUGAUUUUUAAUAAUAUAGCGCGAGCGUCGACUGAACUGCUGGUGAGCGCUUUAAAACGGCGAUAAGCGUGCAAAAAGAGCGUGCAACAAGGCGAGUGCAACAAGGCAACAAGGCUCGUGCGCGAACUCUCGCCUUGUUGCACGCUUAUCGCCGUUAUAAGCAGUUAUAAGCAGUUCAGUCGACGCUCGCGCUAUAUUAUUAAAAAUCAGGGAGGCUGUACAGCGUGAAGGACAAGGACUGCGACAGACACACUCCACUGACUUUCAACAAUAUUUUAUUGCGUUGACACAUCGUGUGUGUAAACAUAAGAGGGGUCAUGCGCAGAAAAUGAAAGCCAGUCACAAGGGGUGUUCUAACAGCAAGUCAUU